GACGAACGCUGGCGGCGUGCCUAAUACAUGCAAGUAGAACGCACAGUUUAUACCGUAGCUUGCUACACCAUAGACUGUGAGUUGCGAACGGGUGAGUAACGCGUAGGUAACCUGCCUGGUAGCGGGGGAUAACUAUUGGAAACGAUAGCUAAUACCGCAUAAUAUUAAUUAUUGCAUGAUAAUUAAUUGAAAGGUGCAAUUGCACCACUACCAGAUGGACCUGCGUUGUAUUAGCUAGUAGGUGAGGUAACGGCUCACCUAGGCGACGAUACAUAGCCGACCUGAGAGGGUGAUCGGCCACACUGGGACUGAGACACGGCCCAGACUCCUACGGGAGGCAGCAGUAGGGAAUCUUCGGCAAUGGACGAAAGUCUGACCGAGCAACGCCGCGUGAGUGAAGAAGGGUUUCGGAUCGUAAAGCUCUGUUGUAAGAGAAGAACGGGUGUGAGAGUGGAGAGUUCACACUGUGACGGUAUCUUACCAGAAAGGGACGGCUAACUACGUG
rnacentral:rRNA from 1 species